CUUAUGUCGUUUAAUUCAGUGCUUCUUCCAAGAAGCACGAGUUAUUUAUAUGCUGUAUUAAGUGCAUUUUCCUCAUUGGCUUUUGAAUUUGUCAUCUUCAAUUUGGCUCAAGGUCUCCUGACUGUAUUUGGACAAAGGUGUAUCCUUUAGCAAACACGGAACCUACCAAUGUCUCCAAUUAAUUCUCUGCUCCCUAGUGUGCUUCUAGUCUUUUCAAUCAUCCUUCAAUCUAUGUCACCAUAUGCCUGCAAGCAUUAAUUGAAAUGACAUGAAAUUAAAUAACUGUGUGAAAUGGAAUAAAGCCAGAACACAGGAAAUAGCUCCCUCUGUGGGUAAACGGUGUGGGAUUGUCAGUGUAUCUGCUGACAUACAACAAAGUUGUGUCCAUCUCAGCAGAAAAACAGCAGUCUCAGAAACAAAUGUCCUGUAACACAUCUCUGAGCUGCUGGCUGAGUCCUGACCUUGACGAGGAAAGGUUUUCUUAAUUACUUGUAGAUGAUAAUGAAGAUCAGUCCUGUUUGGCACGCUGAAUCUGACUUUUCUCCCAAAUAGGGACCAAGAAAAGUUUUCAGCGAAAUGUGAUCCACAAUUACCUUCCUGUGCCACACAGUUUAUAUGCAGAGCAGAUGUAACAAGGCUCCUCCUCGAGACAGCCCACUUAGCAACUGAUGUCAGCUGUGUCUUCCACAUUCACCAUCUGUUCACUGUUACUUCUAAAUGUACGUUGAGAACAGAGGUCAAUCCUACCCUGCUACAAAUAAAGUCCCUGGCCGUGUCCUUCACCACAAUGGAAACGUGACACCAGGAACCCCAUCACAUCCCCAGCAGCUCAUCCUGCACCUGAAAUGCAGCAGCUGUACCAUGGUCUAACUUUCUUGCUCAGCCCAGCCUGUCUCACUGUUUCACCUCCAACAUUUGUGCAAGAUGAAGGUGAAAUCAAAGUGAGGUGGACAACCAGGACCCCGGUGUCACUGUUCAGGAGCUCAGCACCACCAGGUUCCAAACGCUCAGGAGCUGCUCAGCAUCUUGCAGAGAUGCAGCCUUGUGUUCUUUGACUUCGCCCAUACGCUGUUAUUUUUAGACUUGUUACUGCCUGUGUGCUGCAGCGUCAUGAUGAUGCAGGCUCUGAAGGCUCUCUAUCUCUUCCCA
rnacentral:lncRNA from 1 species